UGUCCUGCACACAUGUGUUCCACAUUUCCGUCUGUUGCCUUCAUCGCAGUCAUAGUUGUUUUCGUUACCAAUGAUAACUUAGGAAAUGUGUGCGUUUCUAUCAAACUACCGUGGCUUUAUGAUUCCCAAGUGGCGCAGCUGUCUAAGGCACAGCGUCUCAAUGCUAGAGGUGUCACUACAGACACCCAUGUUCAAAUCCAGACUGCAUUUCUAUCAAAUGGUCCACCUUCCCUAUGGCCGACAUGGUUGCUGUAUGGACAGAAGAGAGGACAUGGAUGCAUUUCACUACACUCGCAUUAACAUCUGCUAACCAUGUCUCCAAGGCGUAGCGAUUGGUCUCCUCUACUGUGUCUCCCACCAGCUCCUCUGUCAGAAACAUCUUGAAGCACUCUGCCUCAGAUGGAAAUGGCAAGGGGCAUUGCACUCCAGACUGAGAUUCAUCAAAGCAAACCGCAGGACCAGGAGGGGUGAAAUGACUGGCAGCCUUCCAGCUACCACAGAACUUCUGUACUUCAUCCACUGUCGGUCUGCCUCCAUCACCACCAGCAUCUUCAAAGGGAACUGGGACUGUCUGUGGACAAGGGGUCCUCAGAUUCAGGGUUCUCACGGUCUGGGGGGCAGCUCCUCACUGUCACUGUCAGAAUCUGAUUCCUGACUUUCAGACUCAUUGUCAGAAUUUUUUUAAUCUGCAGAAUUUCCGCAUUUGUGAGUUGUCUCCUUUUGAAAAACAUCGCUAAUGUUACAGCUUAGCUCACUAGAUACAUACUAACAACACCACUGAAUGGCUCAGAUUGGGAGUUAGAGGUUACGUGAUUGACUGC